rnacentral:tRNA from 1 species
GCACUGGUGGUUCAGUGGUAGAAUUCUUGCCUGCCACGCGGGAGACCCGGGUCCGAUUCCCGGCCAAUGCA